AGUACUGCAAGAACCCUUAUCUCACAGCAAAGUUUCUUUGUUCCACUUCUUUGCAGGCCAGUGCCUUUCUUUAAAUGUGGAGAGAUUUGGUAAUAAUCAGUUGUCAAAGUUGUCCGUCCCUUUUUUUCCAAUUGUAGAUUAAGGGGGGUCUUGUGAGGAUCACAGAAGGACAAUAGUUUUGUUUACCAGCAAUGUCUCUCCCUCCCACUUUCACUUUCUCUCCCUUUCUGAGUGCACACCAUUGGAGGCGUCUCAGCAGGGGGGCAUCCUCCCUUUCCAGGCUGAAUGCACUUGCUACAGUAAACAUCCUCUCUCCUGCCUCCCCCUGGGAUGAGCAGACAGACACAAAUCACUGUGUCGAUGCGAUGGGGCGAGGCGAGAAAGAAAAAGGGAGUGAAGGACACGCUUUGUUUUUAUUGCAGCCAAGUAUGAUGAGAGCAGGUGGCCAUUCCAGUCACUGAUAUCUGAUAGUGUCCGUGGGAGCUGAAGAGAGGAGCUUAUGCUCUCUGGCAGACAGCCAGAGGGCUGGACAGGGGCACAGCAGGAGUCCUCAGGCGGAUGGCUUGGGGGCAGAACAGAUAGGCGGAGCAGGUCUGGAGGGCAACCAAAAAGCAGGACUGAUGGGCUGAGUAGAUCUGAAGGGCGACCAGGAAGCAAGACCGAAGGGCUGAGCAGGUCCAGUGGGCAACCAGGAGGCAAGACCGAAGGACAGAGCAAGUCCGGAGGGUGACCAGGAGACAGGACAGCGGCAUGGAGAAGAAACUAGGCAGUGGCGUAGAUGAGGAGCAGGGCAGUGGAGGCUCUGGGGUGAUGAGAGACUUAGAUUGCCAAUGGUGUUGGGAGCCAUGACGUCCUCGUCUACUCUUGUGGCCUCCACGGGACCCAGGGGACUCUUGUGGCUAGCAGGGCAGGAUGAAGGCUGGUGGCUAGCAUGCAUGAAGCUUGCUGAUAGGUCAUCAGGCUGAAGAGCAGACUGAGGUGCAGACUGAAAGCUAGCGGACCAGAUGCUAGCAGGCUGGACUGGAGACUUACUGCUAGCAGACUGGAAUGCCAGCUGAAAUGCAGGGGUGCUAAGAAAGUCUGUAGCCCACUAAGGUACUGAAUCCUUCAGCCAAGGCUUUGAGAACACAACUUUAUGUGAUUCUCUAUGAAAGUCACUGACUGUCCUCUACAUAACCUUAAAGUGAUAAGAUCUGUGACUACAUCAUAAAGUUUAUCCGAGUUGGUGUCUGCUGGUCAGAUUGUUCUGUUACGUUAGCCAAGCACAGACACAGAAAAACAAGAGCUUAGGAACCAAACGCAGGACACCCAGGCUGAGCAGGUUUGGUUCUCAGUGUUUAUAAAUAAAAGUAUACAACUUA